UGGGGGAUAACGUAGGGAAACUUACGCUAAUACCGCGAUACGACCGAGAGGUGAAAGCGGGGGACCGAAAGGCCUCGCGCAGGCAGGAUGAGCCGAUGUCCGAUUAGCUAGUUGGUCGGGUAAAGGCCUACCAAGGCGACGAUCGGUAGCUGGUCUGAGAGGAUGAUCAGCCACACUGGGACUGAGACACGGCCCAGGACUCCUACGGGAGGCAGCAGUGGGGAAUAUUGGACAAUGGGGGGCAACCCUGAUCCAGCAAUGCCGCGUGUGUGAAGAAGGCCUUCGGGUUGUAAAGCACUUUUAUCGGGAACGAAACACCGUGGGUUAAUACCCUGCGGGACUGACGGUACCCGAGGAAUAAGCACCGGCUAACUCCGUG
rnacentral:rRNA from 1 species